rnacentral:rRNA from 1 species
UACGAAGGGUGCAAGCGUUGUUCGGAAUUACUGGGCGUAAAGCGUGCGUAGGCGGGUCGGUCAGUCGAUUGUGAAAUCCCUGGGCUUAACCUAGGAACUGCAGUCGAAACUACCGAUCUUGAGUGCCUGAGAGGAUGGCGGAAUUCCCGGUGUAGUAGUGAAAUACGUAGAUAUCGGGAAGAACACCUGAGGCGAAGGCGGCUAUCUGGCGGUGCACUGACGCUGAUGCACGAAAGCGUGGGGAGCAAAC